ACGCUGGCGGCGUGCUUCAUACAUGCAAGUCGAACGAGAAUCUCUAGCUUGCUAGAGAGGAAAGUGGCGGACGGGUGAGUAAUAUGUAGAGAAUCUGCCCUGGAGAGGGGGACAACAGAGGGAAACUUCUGCUAAUACCCCAUAUGCGCGUAGUUGAGAUACUAUUCGUGAAAGAUUUAUCGCUCCAGGAUGAGUCUGCAUCUGAUUAGCUAGUUGGGGGUGUAAUGGACCACCAAGGCGACGAUCAGUAGCUGGUUUGAGAGGAUGAUCAGCCACAAUGGGACUGAGACACGGCCCAUACUCCUACGGGAGGCAGCAGUAGGGAAUUUUGCGCAAUGGGCGAAAGCCUGACGCCAGCAACGCCGCGUGAUCGUAGACGCCCUUCGGGGUGUAAAGAUCUGUCAGUAGGGACGAACAAUGACUGUACCUACAGAGGAAGCACCGGCUAACUCCGUGCCAGCCGCCGC
rnacentral:rRNA from 1 species